GUCUGUACUGAUAUGCUGUUUGACAGUUUGUUUUCACAUUCCUCUUUAAAAGCAUCUUUAUUUCCUCAGUUCUUUUGAUUCUCCAUUAAUGAGGAAGCACAAACUUUCUCACCAUUACCACUGCUUGCUAGGCUGAGGCAGUACAGCAGACAUACUCAGGAAAGAAGGAAGCUUGAUUUUAGCAGACAACUAGACGAUAAGAUGGAAGAAAAUAAAAAGAUACUAUUUGUUCUAGAAUCUACUUACCAGUCUACCCAACAGUAAUAUUUAAAAGGUCAGUAUCGCAAUACAAGCAUUUACUAACCUCAUAAUCUGUCUGAAUGUAUUUCACAAAGAGGCCAAUUCCUUAAGGAGUCAUCUCAUAAUCAACAAAUAAAACCAUUAUGUUAAAGUCAGGUACAU